UUGACCUCCUUCAGAAAAAAAAUGGGGAAUGAUUUGUAGUCCUGUAGCGAUGUCUUGUGAGGACAAUUUAUCCGCGUAACCGAAGGAAAUGUCAGAAAUUGCCUUGCACUUGACACAGCCAGGAGAUGGGAGAUGGAGAGGACCCUGUAGACAGGAGGGGGCAACCUCCACCAGGUCUCACCAAGCAGUGAAGAGAGAGAGGAGGACUUUGUUAUGCACAGCAGGUUACCGCCAAAGCUACAUUCAGUUAUGGCAAGAUACCUUGGGAUGGUGAGAGGUAACCUCAUUAUUGGGAAGCACUUCACAUCUGCGUUGAAGGUCACGUUGCAGCAGGCACAGAGCCCUCACGCCAACACUGACUUCAAGACAGUAUGCUGCUGAAUAUGCAAUAACGCAGGGUCAUCACCAGCUCCCAACCACUUCGCCUGAAGACACCUGUGUUGCCUCCAGUCUGUGCAGCCCCUCUAACACUGAUGCCACCAGCGCUGUAUCCUACACUUAACCAUGGAUCACCACUGCUGAUUCCACCUGCGACGUUGCAGAAGAAGCCAGCACGACCACCAGCAUCACCUGAUGGCCCAGGGGUCUCGACGCCUUGAUCACCUGCCUCCUCCAUAAGCCUCCAUCACAGGCCCUGUCUCCAUCACCAUCAUUGUUGGUAUUGGUCUUACAUGACAAAGCCAUUCUCUGCAGAACUGCAAUACUGUCUUGGUAUUGCAUUACAGUACAGGGCAAUAUUGUAUGUAGUAUGCUUUACAUGUAGUACGCUAUGUUUACAUUUUUUCAUGUACACAUGUAUUACAUUUAUUCCCGUAAUACUGUAUUACGAACUACAGGCAUUUCAUAACUCAUGCUAUAUAAUUGAAGGGCCCAUUCAGACAUCAAUAGACUUGCAUAAUCCAUGUUUUCAGGGAUUAAUAUGGUAAAUGGUAAAUGGCCUAAAUGAGGGGCCUUUUGUUGAUAGCAAGGAUACAAUUGCAUAGUCUUAUGCUUUGGGGGCCCUGUGGCAUAUUACAGACAAUGAUGUUUCCGUCUGGGGCCUGUAACUGUAACACAUGGAUGCAUUUGAAAACCUAUGUGCCUAAAGCCACUAGGCCAAUACAGUAAUGUGUCCUUGACCACCUUGUCCUUGACCACCACCACCAUUGCUGCUGAUCCCCAGCAUCAUCACCAACAUCAUCGCAGCCACCAGACAGCAGGGAGCUCGGCAUUCAAGGGCGGCGGCGCAGACACCGGGCAACACAAGAGAACCAAAAGGCACCUUGUGCAUUACGUCUAUCUCCCAAAAGAGAGGGCUGGGGCUCCUCGUUGUAUUACAGUUGUACCCUCUAAUAAAAUACAUGUGAUUAUUUUUGCACAUAUUUUUGUGUUGCAUUUUCUCUAUCCUAGUUUUCAAAGGGACUCAUUCAUCGUCAAUCUAGUUUACCUGUAUGUUGUCCUCUUAUGCCACUAGGUGGCAUACUGUGCUGGUGUGAAGGACCUGUAGGCUAUGUGCUGUUGGUCUUGCCGACAUGUGGUGCAAGUCAAUUAAAUUCAAAUGUGAUCUUCAUAGGAAAAAAAAAAACACUUGAACCAAGUAUGAUGCAGGCCCAUUUCCUCAUGUUCCACGAGGCUUACCCAGUUACACCACGUUUGUAUUUGAAAUGUAAAGUAAUGUCCAGUAUAAAACUGUCUUUACCCAAGUUAACAAGGACAGAGGAUGAAAGUAAGUGCACAAGUGAUAUCGAAGACUUUUCUAGGCUUUUUACGGUCCAUGUGGAGGUUAUGGCUUGCGCCCCUUUUGUUUACAUAGCCUGGUAAGAACAUGGCGGACGCGGCCACUGAGUAACCCUCUCCCCCCCUUGAUCUGUUUAGCGGUC